ensembl:misc_RNA Metazoa_SRP Metazoan signal recognition particle RNA
GCCGGGCAUGGUGGUGCAUGCCUGUAAUCCCAGCUACCUGGGAGGCUGAGGCAGAGAAUUGCUUGAACCCAGGAGGUGGAGGUUGCGGUGAGGUGGAGGUUGCGGUGAGCUGAGAUCACACCACUGCACUCCAGCCUGGGUGACAGAGCAAGACUCUGUCAA